UACGGAGGGGGCUAGCGUUGUUCGGAAUUACUGGGCGUAAAGCGCGCGUAGGCGGCUUAGCAAGUUAGAGGUGAAAGCCCGGAGCUCAACUCCGGAAUUGCCUUUAAAACUGCAAAGCUAGAAUCAUGGAGAGGUGAGUGGAAUUCCGAGUGUAGAGGUGAAAUUCGUAGAUAUUCGGAAGAACACCAGUGGCGAAGGCGACUUACUGGACAAAUAUUGACGCUGAGGUGCGAAAGCGUGGGGAGCAAACAGG
rnacentral:rRNA from 1 species